rnacentral:rRNA from 1 species
UGGGGAAUAUUGCACAAUGGGCGAAAGCCUGAUGCAGCGACGCCGCGUGAGGGAUGACGGCCUUCGGGUUGUAAACCUCUUUCAGCAGGGAAGAAGCGAAAGUGACGGUACCUGCAGAAGAAGCGCCGGCUAACUACGUGCCAGCAGCCGCGGUAAUACGUAGGGCGCAAGCGUUGUCCGGAAUUAUUGGGCGUAAAGAGCUCGUAGGCGGUUAGUCGCGUCUGCUGUGAAAACUCGAGGCUCAACCUCGGGCUUGCAGUGGGUACGGGCUGACUAGGGUGCGGUAGGGGUGACUGGAAUUCCUGGUGUAGCGGUGGAAUGCGCAGAUAUCAGGAGGAACACCGAUGGCGAAGGCAGGUCACUGGGCCGCAACUGACGCUGAGGAGCGAAAGCAUGGGGAGCGAACAGGAUUAGAUACCCUGGUAGUCCAUGCCGUAAACGUUGGGCACUAGGUGUGGGUCCAUUCCACGGAUUCCGUGCCGCAGCAAACGCAUUAAGUGCCCCGCCUGGGGAGUACGGCCGCAAGGCUAAAACUUAAAGGAAUUG